CUAUGAGGAUGUUCUCUGCACACUGGACUCUCAUAAGUCUGCAGCUGCAUCCACCUCUCUGGUGGCUCCUCCACUCAAAGAGACAGAUCCAGUACUGCAUAUGGAUGCUUCAGUCUUACCCUGUCUGCUGGGACUGACCAGGGAUGACCACUUGUGUCUGAGCUUGGCAACACCUUGGGAAUUGAAUAUCUGCAGUAGUGUCCUCGCCUUCAUCUACCUCACAGCAUUUCAAUGCAGUUCACUUGCUGCACUAGAGUAUAAGCUCCAGGCUAUCCUGUUCAUAGACAAGGACAACCUUUGGCACAUAGUAUAUGCUGAAAAAUAUUACAUCUCAUCACUUGCUUUUGGAAGGGUGAUUGAAAGCUCUCCUCAUCCUCUUGCCUCCAUGGGCAGAGAAGCACCUGGUAGCCACUAGCAACUCAGAAGUGGUGAAGAUCUAACAG
rnacentral:lncRNA from 1 species